UGUCUCAUGGUGUAAUGGUAGCACUACAGUUUUUGGUUCUGUCAGUCAAAGUUCGAAUCUUUGUGAGACAA
rfam:Bacteroides luti strain DSM 26991 genome assembly, contig: Ga0131163_105